rnacentral:rRNA from 1 species
AUACGUAGGGUGCGAGCGUUGUCCGGAAUGAUUGGGCGUAAAGGGCGCGUAGGCGGCGCGGUAAGUCUGGAGUGAAAGUCCUGCUUUCAAGGUGGGAAUUGCUUUGGAUACUGCCGCGCUUGAGUGCAGGAGAGGUUAUCGGAAUUCCCGGUGUAGCGGUGAAAUGCGUAGAGAUCGGGAGGAACACCAGUGGCGAAGGCGGGUAACUGGACUGCAACUGACGCUGAGGCGCGAAAGUGUGGGGAGCAAACAGGAUUAGAUACCCUGGUAGUCCACACUGUAAACGAUGAAUGCUAGGCGUAAGAGGUAUCGACCCCUUUUGUGCCGGAGUCAACACAAUAAGCAUUCCGCCUGGGGAGUACGGCCGCAAGGUUGAAACUCAAAUGAAUUGACGGG